rnacentral:lncRNA from 1 species
CAGGAAUCGCCUGAGAACACAUAGGUGCUACCUACCUUCCUGAAGGAUCUGGUGCCCAGUGUGACAGAGAACACCUGGCAGCUCCAUUUAGGUCCCAGUGUUCCCAACCCUUGCUUUUGCUCUCAACACAAAAAGAAAUGGAGAACGAAGCCGUGAAGCCUGGUGAGGUAAGCCACACCAGGCGCCAAAGCCAGCUGCUCCCUUAGAACCCAGGGAGAGGUUUUAGGUAUUUUCUGAAGAGUGGUCCUUUGGCAUCUAAUCCCAGAACUCAAGAGGAGGAAACAGUUGUCAUAUUCAAAUUGAAGAAGCUCUAGAAGUCUGCCCCAUUUUAAACCUCUCCGGUUUUCCAUCCGAGAAACUUCAGAGACUUAAAGAAGUUUGUGGUUUGGAUCUGAAGUGUCCCUCAUAGACUACUGUGUUGAAGACUUGGUUCCCACCCAGUGCCACUAUUUUGGGAGGCUGUGGAAACCUGAGAAGGCCAGGCCUGUUUGGAGGAAGUAGGUCAGUGGAGGAGCGCCCCUAAAGGUCAUUGCUGACUCCUUGUCGUCUUCACACUCCGCCUCCUGCUCACCACGAGGUGAUAAACCUCUCCUGCUCCAUGCUUCUGCUACCAUGACAUUUUGGUCUAAAUUCAUGGAGCACAGUAGCCAUGGAGGAGUGACCCUCUAAAACUGAGAGCCAAGGGGCUGCUGAGAUGGCUCAGCGGUUAAGAGCACCAACUGCUCUUCUAAAGGUCCUGAGCUCAGAUCCCAGCAACCACAUGGUGGCUCACAACCAUCUGACUCUCUCUUCUGGUGUGUCUGAAGAAAGCUACAGUGUACUUACAAUAAAUAAAUAAAUAAAUAAAUAAAUAAAUAAAUAAAUACAUC